rnacentral:ncRNA from 1 species
UAAACCCAGGUAUUUGGGUGCGGCCAACCAAGGUAAGUCCGUCCUAAGGACGGCGCCGCACCCCUCCCGCAAGGGAGUGUGCCUGGGAGGAGGA